GCUGAAACAUGCAAAAAUAUUUACCCCCAAAAGAUGUAGUAAAAGCUCAGCUUCCUCCAGCUUCCAUAACCCCUGAAGUGUUAAUCUGGAGGAACAGUUCCAUGAGUUUCCACAGGCCAGCAGUGUGUCUCCUACACUUGACCUAGACAGCCUUACAUAACGAAGCACCAGUGCUGGGGAGCUCUCUGAAUGUCAUCACCAGCAAGAGCAAGAAGUAUUGGCAGCAGCAGGCAGCCAGGCAGGCUGGGAGUUUGCAUGGAAAUCAUGAAGUCUUUCUUGUCUUCCUCUUUUGAAAUAUUUUGGAAGGCGAGUUAAGAAUAGCUCAGAAACUGGUCUCAUUCUUUUUGUGGGAAGAAUGACCAGAAGCAUAAAAGCUAAGUCUUCCAGCAAGUGCAAGACACCUCUUUCGGUGUUUGCAGUAAACCUAACAAGAAUGAAUUGCUAUCAGUAAAGUCCUGUACCAUGACACCUAAAAGGAAGGAAAUGGUAAAGCAAAGUAAUAACUCAAAGACAGUCACCGAGGGCUUUUGUCCACCUUUAACUCAUUGUGGAACUUGACAUCAUCAGACAGUAAAUCAAGAGGUACUGACAACUGAGACUGAGUGAUGGUCCCUGCCUAGGAUUUGGAAUCUUUGCAUGAAAUAGGGACUCUAGCCACCAGUGACAAAGAAGUCAGGGAGACUGCGGUCUCUAGGAAGCACUUCCAGGAAACAGGAAUUCAGGCAAAGUUGGACAUUCCAAAGAUGGCGUAGAUGAACAUGACCAGGAAGAGCAGGAGGCCGAUGUUAAACAACGCAGGAAGGGACAUCAUCAAAGCAAAGAGCAGCGUGCGGAUCCCCUUUGCUCCUUUGACUAGACGUAGGAUUCGGCCAAUCCUGGCAAGACGGAUCACUCGGAACAGGGUAACAGAGAUCUCUGGAGGUGAAACAUUGCUCUGAACUGGCAUUGAUUCUAGCCCAGCUCUUGUAGACCAAUUACCAACUUCUCCAUCUCCCUCCAGUGCCUGGAACUGGACCUGGCACACAGGCAAAGGGUUAUCAACUGUGCUGCACUCUGAGGAGCUUGACUGGUUUAAUCUCUAGAAAGGAAUUCACCACCCCACCAGCACGCGGAACACAAUCAGGAAGGAGUGGAAGAAGUCGUUCAUGUGCCACCGUGGGAGCGUACAGUCAUCAUUGAUCUUGCAGACACAUUCUUUGUAGCUCUUACCAAAGAGCUGCAUGCCGACCACAGCAAAAAUGAAGACGAUGAUGGCCAACACUAAGCCUUUAGACUAAAAAGAAAACAAAUAUUACAUACCCUGAAUCUGUGCUGAAACCACAAAGGAGAGCAUCUUUGGAUCCCUCCAAGUAAUAAAAGUAUUCUGUUGAAGAAGAAUUUGAACAGUUAUAACAUUACAGACUUUAAUCUGUGAUUGUGAUAAAGGAGGUCAAAUUAAAAAAUCUGAUUAUUGGGAGACUUUUGGAGUAAUCAUGGAAGAAAGACUAUGAAAUCAGAUAUUCUUGGAUUUGAAUGUUGCUUCUAUCCCUUCUUAAGUAAGUGAAUUAUCUUUAAGCCAUUAAGCCUUA